GGUCGAAAGAGGAAAUUCAUUCGCGUUUCGAUUGUCGAAGUGAAGCGUAUGUAUGACGGAUGAUGUUUCGGCAUCGUUUGCAUCUUAUGUUUUUCGAAUCGAUGUCGAACGCGUGCACUUUUCCUCUAGUAGGACGUCGCGAUCCGUUGGGUGUCUGUCUAAGACUCGAGGUGGAGCCCACGUAAUUUUUAUAUUAUUUGGACCCUCGAUGUUCCGACAGACUCGCUCGACGGUAUAAUAAUGGCGCGAGGCCGCUACUUAAGUUAGCGUUCGGCCCGUAGCAAGCACGUUUCGAGUUUGACGGUGAUCGGACCUAGUGCCGAUUCUGUCCCUUAACGACUGUUGGUUGCGGUGUUCUCGAACAGACCUCG
rnacentral:rRNA from 1 species